UGGUGGAGUGAUUUGUCUGGUUAAUUCCGUUAACGAACGAGACCUCGACGUGUUUAAUGGGUGUUGUCACCGCCUUUCGCGGUGGCAUGGCCGCGAGGCCGCCUCUUUCUGCGGGCACCCUCUUAAACGGACUAUCGGUGCUUAGCCGGUGGAAGUUCGAGGCCAUAACA
rnacentral:rRNA from 1 species